UGUAAAAUUGGGGAAUUUAACGAGCCUUGCUCUUAUGAAGUUAGCGGCGGACGGGUGUUUUAAAUGGGGGGUAACCUGCCCAUAAGACUGGGAUAACUCCCUUCAAACCGGGGCUAAUACCGGAUAACAUUUUGAACCGCAUGGUUCGAAAUUGAAAGGCGGCUUCGGCUGUCACUUAUGGAUGGACCCGCGUCGCAUUAGCUAGUUGGUGAGGUAACGGCUCACCAAGGCAACGAUGCGUAGCCGACCUGAGAGGGUGAUCGGCCACACUGGGACUGAGACACGGCCCAGACUCCUACGGGAGGCAGCAGUAGGGAAUCUUCCGCAAUGGACGAAAGUCUGACGGAGCAACGCCGCGUGAGUGAUGAAGGCUUUCGGGUCGUAAAACUCUGUUGUUAGGGAAGAACAAGUGCUAGUUGAAUAAGCUGGCACCUUGACGGUACCUAACCAGAAAGCCACGGCUAACUACGUGCCAGCAGCCGCGGUAAUACGUAGGUGGCCAGCGUUAUCCGGAAUUAUUGGGCGUAAAGCGCGCGCAGGUGGUUUCUUAAGUCUGAUGUGAAAGCCCACGGCUCAACCGUGGAGGGUCUUUGGAAAACUGGAAAAACUUGAGUGCAGAAGAGGAAAGUGGGAAUUCCAUGUGUAGCGGUGAAAUGCCGUAAAAGAUAUGGGAGGAACACCCAGUGGCGAAGGCGACUUUCUGGUCUUGUAACUGACACUGAGGCGCGAAAGCGUGGGGGAGCAAACAGGGAUAUGAUCACCCUGGGUAGUCCCACGCCCGAAACCGGAUGGAGUUGCUAGUGUUAGAGGGUUUCCCGCCCUUUUUAGAGCUGAAGUUCACGCAUUAAAGCACUCCCGCCUUGGGAGAUGAUACGGUCCGGCAAGGGUCUGAAAAACUCAAAAGUGAGAAUUUUUGACGCGGCGGCC
rnacentral:rRNA from 1 species